rnacentral:rRNA from 1 species
GUGGGGAAUAUUGCACAAUGGGGGGAACCCUGAUGCAGCGACGCCGCGUGGGUGAAGAAGUAUUUCGGUAUGUAAAGCCCUAUCAGCAGGGAAGAAAGCGUGUUGAGAGACACGCAUGACGGUACCUGAGUAAGAAGCACCGGCUAAAUACGUGCCAGCAGCCGCGGUAAUACGUAUGGUGCAAGCGUUAUCCGGAUUUACUGGGUGUAAAGGGAGCGCAGGCGGUGCGGCAAGUCUGAUGUGAAAACCCGGGGCCCAACCCCGGUACUGCAUUGGAAACUGCCGGACUGGAGUGUCGGAGGGGCAAGUGGAAUUCCUAGUGUAGCGGUGAAAUGCGUAGAUAUUAGGAGGAACACCAGUGGCGAAGGCGGCUUGCUGGACGAUGACUGACGCUGAGGCUCGAAAGCGUGGGGAGCAAACAGGA